GACAGCAGUCGCCGCGGUAAUACGUAGGUCCCGAGCGUUGUCCGGAUUUAUUGGGCGUAAAGCGAGCGCAGGCGGUUAGAUAAGUCUGAAGUUAAAGGCAUUGGCUCAACCAAUGUAUGCUUUGGAAACUGUUAGACUUGAGUGCAGAAGGGGAGAGUGGAAUUCCAUGUGUAGCGGUGAAAUGCGUAGAUAUAUGGAGGAACACCGGUGGCGAAAGCGGCUCUCUGGUCUGUCACUGACGCUGAGGCUCGAAAGCGUGGGUAGCGAACAGGAUUAGAGACCCCAGUAGUCCCUGUCUCUUAUACA
rnacentral:rRNA from 1 species